GACUACUGCAAAAGUGAGGUUUAAGUUGAAAAAGCCGCCACUUUGUUAGUUCAGACCUGUGAUCUCAGCACAUGGGAGUCUGAAGUAGAAGGACUACCACGACUUCGAGGCCAGUUCUGGCUACAGAGUGAGCUCCUAUCUUGAAAAACCAAAAGGAGAAGAGAAGGGAUACAAAAGUGAGUGUCGUGGAGGGUGUGGCAAAGCUCCUCACCCAGCAAGUGGGGAGAAGACGCCCAACCGAAAAACAAGAAAAAUGUGAAAACCACAAGACAAGGACAGAUUUCCCCUCCUUUUGAAAUGGAAACCUCAAGUGCAAAAUUCUUAUUCAAAGUAGCAGAAUUAAGUCCCAUCUCACAAGAACCCCGCCUACACCUUCCCCAGCACAGCCUUCCCCUUUCCACCCACCACUGGGCACUCCAUGGGCCAAGAAUUCAGCAUCGCUGACAUCGCUGGCGGGUCCUUCGGGCAGGGCUUGUUCUACAUGCCAUGGAAAGAUUUUGCCGUGCUGCUCGAACUGAUCUUAUACCCAGAGGCCUUUGGGAUCCUCCUGCCUUCAGCUUCCUGAGUAACUGGGGCUUGAGGUAUCACCCUUUCGUCUUUAGAAGAUCCAGGGUUGCAGCUCAGCAGUGAAGUACCUGAUGAGCAUGGAUGAGGCCCGGAUUCUAUCCCCAACAUUGUAAAAAUAAAUUGUGUGGGGGGGGGGUUUGAGGAAAUGAGGGAGGAUAAGAGAGAAAGAAUCCCUAGGAAAGCCAUUGGUUUGCAAUGGCUUUAGCUGCCUUAGCAUUUCCUGCUACCAAACAUCUGGUUAUAGAAACAAUGUACUUCAAAUCAGGAACUCAAUAAAAUGAAUCAAAGAAAUAGUCUCACAUCAAAGCUCUGGUUUUAUAUCUAGUUCUAGUCCAAUAUUUACUUUGCUUACUUAACACAGUUACAAACACAUCCAUAUUAGCUUCGCCCCGGCAACUUACUAUAGGAUUACAUUUUUAUAAAGCCAUUGAAGGCAAAAAUAUCACAAGUCAAAGUGUAUUGAACCCAGGCACAUGCCUGCCAGUCCAGCACUUGAGAUUAGGCAGAUGUUGAAGACUUGAAAGCCAGCCUGUGCUUUACAGAAAGACCUUAUCUAAAAAUACCACACAACUGAGGAGGUGACUGAGGGGGAAAAUUUUGCUGUGCAAGUGUGAGGACCUCAGCUCAAAUC